rnacentral:tRNA from 1 species
GCCCGGAUGGUGGAAUCGGUAGACACAAGGGAUUUAAAAUCCCUCGGCGUUCGCGCUGUGYGGGUUCAAGUCCCRCUCCGGGUACCA